AGGGGCGUAGCUCAAUUGGUAGAGCACCGGUCUCCAAAACCGGGUGUUGGGAGCUCGAGCCUCUCCGCCCCUGCCA
rnacentral:tRNA from 1 species